rnacentral:rRNA from 1 species
AUUGAACGCUGGCGGCAGGCCUAACACAUGCAAGUCGAACGAGUGGCGGACGGGUGAGUAAUGUCUGGGGAACUGCCCGAUAGAGGGGGAUAACUACUGGAAACGGUAGCUAAUACCGCAUACCAUCGGAUGUGCCCAGAUGGGAUUAGCUAGUAGGUGGGGUAAAGGCUCACCUAGGCGACGAUACCUAGCUGUUCUGAGAGGAUGACCAGCCACACUGGGACUGAUACACGGCCCAGACUCCGACGGGAGGCAGCAGUGGGGAAUAUUGCACAAUGGGCGCAAGCCUGAUGCAGCCAUGCCGCGUGUAUGAAGAAGGCCUUAGGGUUGUAAAGUACUUUCAGCGGGGAGGCGUUACCCGCAGAAGAAGCACUGGCUAACUCCGUGCCAGCAGCCGCGGUAAUAC